GAUGAACGCUAGCUACAGGCUUAACACAUGCAAGUCGAGGGGCAGCAUGGUCUUAGCUUGCUAAGGCUGAUGGCGACCGGCGCACGGGUGAGUAACACGUAUCCAACCUGCCGUCUACUCUUGGCCAGCCUUCUGAAAGGAGGAUUAAUCCAGGAUGGCAUCAUGAGUUCACAUGUCCGCAUGAUUAAAGGUAUUUUCCGGUAGACGAUGGGGAUGCGUUCCAUUAGAUAGUAGGCGGGGUAACGGCCCACCUAGUCAACGAUGGAUAGGGGUUCUGGGAGGAAGGUCCCCCACAUUGGAACUGAGACACGGUCCAAACUCCUACGGGAGGCAGCAGUGAGGAAUAUUGGUCAAUGGGCGAUGGCCUGAACCAGCCAAGUAGCGUGAAGGAUGACUGCCCUAUGGGUUGUAAACUUCUUUUAUAAAGGAAUAAAGUCGGGUAUGCAUACCCGUUUGCAUGUACUUUAUGAAUAAGGAUCGGCUAACUCCGUGCCAGCAGCCGCGGUAAUACGGAGGAUCCGAGCGUUAUCCGGAUUUAUUGGGUUUAAAGGGAGCGUAGAUGGAUGUUUAAGUCAGUUGUGAAAGUUUGCGGCUCAACCGUAAAAUUGCAGUUGAUACUGGAUGUCUUGAGUGCAGUUGAGGCAGGCGGAAUUCGUGGUGUAGCGGUGAAAUGCUUAGAUAUCAC
rnacentral:rRNA from 1 species